UUGUCGUCAGCUCGUGUCGUGAGAUGUUGGGUUAAGUCCCGCAACGAGCGCAACCCCUGCCUUCAGUAGCCAGCAAGAAAGAUGGGCACUCUGGAGGGACUGCCUGGGAGAACCAGGAGGAAGGCGGGGAUGACGUCAAAUCAUCAUGCCCCUUAUGGCCAGGGCUACACACGUGCUACAAUGGCGCAGACAAAGGGAAGCGAACCGGUGACGGCAAGCGAACCCCAGAAAAAGCGCCCCAGUUCGGAUUGCAGCCUGCAACUCGGCUGCAUGAAGCCGGAAUCGCUAGUAAUCGCGAAUCAGAAUGUCGCGGUGAAUACGUUCCCGGGUCUUGUACACACCGCCCGUCACGCCAUGGAAGCCGGAAAUGCCCGAAGUCAGUGACCUAACCGAAAGGGAGGAGCUGCCGAAGGUGGAGCCGGUAACUGGGGUGAAGUCGUAACAAGGUAGCCGUAUCGGAAGGUGCGGCUGGAUCACCUC
rnacentral:rRNA from 1 species